AUUUUAACAAAAAAGGUCAUUAGGACAUUUUAAGAAACUUUAACUAAUAGACAGGGGAGACUUUUCUAAGGUAUUUGUUAGGUUAGACUACGUUAAAUCAUGCUCUUUUAUCUUGUAGGCCGGUCAUCCGGGUUUGGCCGAUGAAGGGAUAACAACCCGAAACCGGUACUAACAACGAAAAUAAAAUAGUAAACAGAAAGUCUUCUUCUUUUUAUAUUAACAAUAAGGUAGUACCACGUGCAUUGGGGUCAACAUCCAAAAAUAAAGUUUACUUUUUAAACCACAA